rnacentral:rRNA from 1 species
GACGAACUUUGGCGGCGUGCUUAACACAUGCAAGUCGAACGGAAAGGCCCUGCUUUUGUGGGGUGCUCGAGUGGCGAACGGGUGAGUAACACGUGAGUAACCUGCCCUUGACUUUGGGAUAACUUCAGGAAACUGGGGCUAAUACCGGAUAGGAGCUCCUGCUGCAUGGUGGGGGUUGGAAAGUUUCGGCGGUUGGGGAUGGACUCGCGGCUUAUCAGCUUGUUGGUGGGGUAGUGGCUUACCAAGGCUUUGACGGGUAGCCGGCCUGAGAGGGUGACCGGCCACAUUGGGACUGAGAUACGGCCCAGACUCCUACGGGAGGCAGCAGUGGGGAAUAUUGCACAAUGGGCGGAAGCCUGAUGCAGCAACGCCGCGUGCGGGAUGACGGCCUUCGGGUUGUAAACCGCUUUCGCCUGUGACGAAGCGUGAGUGACGGUAAUGGGUAAAGAAGCACCGGCUAACUACGUGCCAGCAGCCGCGGUGAUACGUAGGGUGCGAGCGUUGUCCGGAUUUAUUGGGCGUAAAGGGCUCGUAGGUGGUUGAUCGCGUCGGAAGUGUAAUCUUGGGGCUUAACCCUGAGCGUGCUUUCGAUACGGGUUGACUUGAGGAAGGUAGGGGAGAAUGGAAUUCCUGGUGGAGCGGUGGAAUGCGCAGAUAUCAGGAGGAACACCAGUGGCGAAGGCGGUUCUCUGGGCCUUUCCUGACGCUGAGGAGCGAAAGCGUGGGGAGCGAACAGGCUUAGAUACCCUGGUAGUCCACGCUGUAAACGGUGGGUACUAGGUGUGGGGUCCAUUCCACGGGUUCCGUGCCGUAGCUAACGCUUUAAGUACCCCGCCUGGGGAGUACGGCCGCAAGGCUAAAACUCAAAGGAAUUGACGGGGCCCCGCACAAGCGGCGGAGCAUGCGGAUUAAUUCGAUGCAACGCGUAGAACCUUACCUGGGUUUGACAUGGAUCGGGAGUGCUCAGAGAUGGGUGUGCCUCUUUUGGGGUCGGUUCACAGGUGGUGCAUGGCUGUCGUCAGCUCGUGUCGUGAGACGUUGGGUUAAGUCCCGCAACGAGCGCAACCCUUGUUCACUGUUGCCAGCACGUUAUGGUGGGGACUCAGUGGAGACCGCCGGGGUCAACUCGGAGGAAGGUGGGGAUGACGUCAAGUCAUCAUGCCCCUUAUGUCCAGGGCUUCACGCAUGCUACAAUGGCUGGUACAGAGAGUGGCGAGCCUGUGAGGGUGAGCGAAUCUCGGAAAGCCGGUCUCAGUUCGGAUUGGGGUCUGCAACUCGACCUCAUGAAGUCGGAGUCGCUAGUAAUCGCAGAUCAGCAACGCUGCGGUGAAUACGUUCCCGGGGCU